rnacentral:rRNA from 1 species
AGAGUUUGAUCAUGGCUCAGGACGAACGCUGGCGGCGCGCUUAACACAUGCAAGUCGAGCGAGAACCGGUCCUUCGGGACCGGGGAAAGCGGCGAACGGGUGAGUAACACGUGAGUAAUCCACCCUCGGCACCGGGAUAGCCCGGGGAAACCCGGAUUAAUACCGGAUGGCCCAACAGCCUUUCGGGGCGGUUGGAAAAGGUAGCUCCGGCCUCCGGCCGAGGACGAGCUCGCGGCGGAUUAGCUUGUUGGUGGGGUAAUGGCCUACCAAGGCGACGAUCCGUAGCUGGUCUGAGAGGACGAUCAGCCACACUGGGACUGAGACACGGCCCAGACUCCUACGGGAGGCAGCAGUGGGGAAUCUUGCGCAAUGGCCUAACGGCUGACGCAGCGACGCCGCGUGUGGGAUGAAGCUCCUCGGAGUGUAAACCACUGUUGCCCGGGACGAAUAGCUCGAUUAAUCGAGCCUGACGGUACCGGGUGAGGAAGCACCGGCUAACUCCGUGCCAGCCGCCGCGGUAAUAC